rnacentral:rRNA from 1 species
UACGUAGGUGACAAGCGUUGUCCGGAUUUACUGGGCGUAAAGAGCGCGCAGGCGGUCGAUCAAGUCGGGUGUGAAAGCCCCCGGCUCAACUGGGGAGGGUCAUUCGAUACUGAUCGACUCGAAGGCAGGAGAGGGUAGUGGAAUUCCCGGUGUAGUGGUGAAAUGCGUAGAUAUCGGGAGGAACACCAGUGGCGAAGGCGACUACCUGGCCUGUUCUUGACGCUGAGGCGCGAAAGCUAGGGGAGCAAACAGG